rnacentral:lncRNA from 1 species
GUUUCCCAUGAGGCUCUGCCUCUUGGAAAAGCUGCUGCCUCAACACCCAGGUUUUCCCAUACAUACUCUGGAGUCUAGACAAAGGCUCCCAAGCCUCUAGUUUUGUGCUCUGUGCACCUGCUGGCUUAGUACUAUGUGGAAGCCACCAAGGUUUGAAGCUUGCACCCCUGAAGCAGUGAUGCAAGCUGUACCUGUGCAUCUUUCAGCCGUGACUGGAGCUGGAGCUGGAGCUGGAGCUGCAGGGAUGCAGGCAGCAGUGUCCUGAGGAUGAACACAGCAACGCGACCAUGGGACUCACCCAGGAAAGCAUUCUUGGGUCCUAGAACUCGGGGCCUGUGACAGCAAGCUCUGCUGCAAAGGUCUCUGAAAUGGCUUCAAGACCUUUUAACCUUGUCUUAGCUAUUAGCACUGGGCUCCAUUUUAUGCAAAUUUCUGAAGCCUUCUUGAACUUUCCCACUGAUAAUAAGCUUUUCUUUUUGACCACUUGGCCAGGCUGCAAAUUUUCACAACUUUUAAUCUCUCCUUGUCAUUUAAAUAUGUUUCACCUUGAGGUCAUUUCUUUGGUCACAUAUUUUCAUGUGAGACCUUCUAAGCCUGGUGGUCACUGUCCAUCCUUAUGUCACCUUCUUAAUUAUAACUAUUUAACAAG